ACACCCCUCAAGCCCCCGGGCUUGGUGUUGGGGAUCGGGAACAGCGGAUCGGCCCCCCCGGGGCCGCGAAGCCCCCGUCCCCCAAAUGCAUCGGCGGUCACGCCGCGGCCUCUUGCGCGUAGUAGCUAACACCUCGCGCCGGAGCCCGUCGUGGUCCACGCCGCUAAACCCCCGACUUUUUACA
rnacentral:misc_RNA from 1 species